AUUUUCCCGACUUCGGCCAAGAAGACAUUAUAACUCAAGUUUUUGGACACGAUCAGUCUGUUCCUGAUUUAGAAAACAUCGUUCCCACUUUGGACGUGAACUGUGUUCCAAAUUUCUAUCAGGACUGGGAUACCAAAGAAAAACAACCUCAACUUUCUCCACCACAACAACAGCAACAACUCCAGACUCAGUUUUUACCUCCUUCGUAUGAAGAGCACAUUCAGACGAUUGAGAACAAUAACAGUUUGGAAAGCCUGCUCGCUGAACCCAUAAAACCCGCCGCUGCCGCUGCUGUACCAUGCAGACGACUGAGUGAAAUUCUUGAGUGUAUUAACGAAGACAAGGAUUAUCGUAUCAUUACCGAAGGUAGGGACCUGACAAUUUUUCUCAUUCAAUAAGUUUCAAUUUUACAUUUUUUUCUGUUUUUUUUCUCAUCAAAGACUGAAAAACUAAACACGAUCUUGUUCUUUUCAGAUCGCCUAUCUCCCAUAACCCCACCACCUUCUGUACCAGUAAAGGAAACCAACUACAAACAAGAAAAAUCGCAGGAAUCGAAACAGUUUGAAGAAACCCUGAAAAGGAUUGCAUCACUUCUUUCAUGUAAGUACACUUAAUAUUAUCAUUCACGAUCUUUGUUACAUAUCUAGACAAUUCCAUUUCUCGUUUAUGUUUUUACACGAGUAUAUAAUAGAAGAUCUUUUUGUUUUUUAGGCGGUGGUCAAAUCAAAUUGUGGCAAUUCCUUCUGGAACUUCUCUCAGAGGAAGAAAAUAAAGAUUGCAUUCGCUGGGAAGGAACCAGUGGAGAAUUCCGGAUGGUGGACCCUGAUGCAGUGGCUCGGAAAUGGGGCCAGAGGAAAAACAAGCCCUCCAUGAAUUAUGACAACAUGAGUCGUGCUCUUCGAUUCUAUUAUGACAAAUUUAUCCUCAACAAAGUGUCUGGAAAGAGGCAUACGUAUAAGUUUAACUUCAACGCCAUCAUCAACUCUAUGCAAUCUUCUACAUCGUCCAGCCACUUCAAUUCCUCUCUAAUGGGACUUAUCAAUAACCUCACGCCAAAUGUGACGUGUCCUUACCAGUAUCCCGGAUCUUUUCCUUCCCGCCAUCCCUCCAGAUACAGACAGACCCGCCACUUCACCACUCCCCCACCGCCAAACUACACAGUACCCUGCACCAAGGAAGAGUUCCCAUCCAGUUGUCGCUUUGCUUCAAACAAACCGUAUCCAUCUACUAGUGAGAUAAACGAGAAUAUGUAUUCCAGCUGCCAGUUUGACCAGAGACUAUAUAAUGAUAAUACUUACUCUCAAGAUCACCAAAAACAGCAGGUGCCCUUUCAGACCUCAUGUAGUGUCCAAAGCAAUGGAUACUCAAGGUCAUUUGAAGACAAUUGUAUGAAAUCGAGACGAGAUUACUAUAGAUAUUCCCCUUACCAACGAUCGCCCCAAAAUUCCACGUGUGUGCCUAUGGUAGGGUACUAGAGUACUUAUUCUUAGACCUAUUAGUCCUAUUAGACUUCUGUAAAUAUUUGUUCAUAGACUUUAGCAUUAGAGACUUACGUGUUUGCUCAAACUACCGAUGUGAUUUCAUAAAUAAAAAUUAAUCCACAUUGAAUCUUUCUAUUCCUGUAUUUUUACUCAAGAAUACAUAUGUACAUUGUCUUUGAUACAUUUCGUUUUUUGUAUUUAUUUAUGAUUGUUCAAGUCUCGGUGCUGGCGCUGGGAUACAUGAUCGAGUCUUACUAUGGUGCUGUGCAUUAAUCUAUUUUUCCACAAUGAAAUCCUAUAGGAGCAAUUCCAUUCUGCUUUCUGUGUUGCGUUUUCUUUGUCUUGUCCCGAAAGACGAGAAAGCUUACUCAUUUUAUGUAAAUGCCAUUUGAUUUGAAACACUGCUUUGGAGUUGUAUUUUUCAUUUUUGAAUAUUACCAUGUUUGUUGUUUAUUACAAUGUUUUGUAAAUGAUGACAAAAAUAAAUGAAAGCU
rnacentral:misc_RNA from 1 species